GUCUGAGAGUACUCUUUAUAUGAGGCAGAACUCUUCGGGCUGAAGGUUAUAAAAACAGAAUGUGCUGGCCAUAAAGCUGAGAGAGACAGAGACAGAGACAGAGACAGAGAGAGAGGGAGAGAGAGAGAGAGAGAGAGAGAGACAGCAGCUCGCUGGUGGCUGACCAGGUGCUCAAAGCGAGAGGAACAGGAGCAACGAACUGCAUCCAACUCCAGACAGAUUUCUCUGGACAACGUUUUGAGCAACAGAAUCUUGGC
rnacentral:lncRNA from 1 species